CCUACGGGGGGCAGCAGUGAGGAAUAUUGGUCAAUGGCCGUAAGGCUGAACCAGCCAAGCCGCGUGAAGGAAGAAGGAUCUAUGGUUUGUAAACUUCUUUUAUAGGGGAAUAAAGGUAUCCACGUGUGGAUAUUUGCAUGUACCCUAUGAAUAAGCAUCGGCUAACUCCGUGCCAGCAGCCGCGGUAAUACGGAGGAUGCGAGCGUUAUCCGGAUUUAUUGGGUUUAAAGGGUGCGUAGGUUGUUUUUUAAGUCAGCGGUGAAAGUUUGUGGCUCAACCAUAAAAUUGCCGUUGAAACUGGCAGUCUCGAGUUGGAGAGAAGUAUGCGGAAUGCGCGGUGUAGCGGUGAAAUGCAUAGAUAUCGCGCAGAACUCCGAUUGCGAAGGCAGCAUGCCGGCUCCACACUGACGCUGAGGCACGAAAGCGUGGGUAUCGAACAGGAUUAGAUACCCUGGUAGUC
rnacentral:rRNA from 1 species